rnacentral:rRNA from 1 species
GACGAACGCUGGCGGCGUGGAUUAGGCAUGCAAGUCGAACGGUAGGAUACCUUCGGGUAUCUGAGAGUGGCGAACGGGUGAGUAACACGUAGGUGAUCUACCCUCAAGAUUGGGACAACCCAGGGAAACUUGGGCUAAUACCGGAUGAAAGCAGCAGUGAUGUUGUUUGAAAGGUGGCGUAAGCUGCCGUUUGGGGAUGAGCCUGCGCUCUAUUAGUUAGUUGGCGGGGUAAAGGCCCACCAAGGCGAUGAUAGAUAGGCGGCCUUAACGGGUGGUCGCCCACACUGGGAUUGAGAUACGGCCCAGACUCCUACGGGAGGCAGCAGUCGAGAAUAGUCUACAAUGGUCGGAAGACUGAUAGUGCGACGCCGCGUGAACGAUGAAUCCCUUCGGGGUUAAAGUUCUUUUAUAUGUGAGCAGUGCUUUCUUAUAUUAACGUAUGGGGAGAGAGAUAUUAGCAUAUGAAUAAGCAACGGCUAACUCCGUGCCAGCAGCCGG